rnacentral:lncRNA from 1 species
CGGGCUCAGAGCCCCACUGUGUGAGGCGGCUGCCCUGACUGAGGAUCACGGAGCCGGCCAGGCUGGCCCCACCCACCCUCAGCCACAGGGACGGUGGCUGCUGCCCCCACCCUCUGUGGUUCCUGCCCCGGCCUCCCCUUGGGAGAGGGUGGUCUGCCUGCCUGAGGGUGGGGGUUUUCCAGAGCAGGAGUUCCGUGCCAGAGGCCACCUCCCUAGGGUGUCUCGGGCAGCCUGAGGCUGAGCGGUGGCUGGUCUGGGGGUCCAGGAGCCACUGUCCCCUCCAGGCCUCCACGUGGCCAGGGUGUGGCAGGAAGUGCGUUGCAAAUGCUCAAGCCAUCCCAGGCACUGUCCUGCUCCAGGGAGAACUGAGCUGCCCCAGAGCUGGGCAGGAGAGAUGGGGCCUCUUUCCCGGGGAAGCUCAGUGCAUCGGGGAGGCCCUGUCCGUGGGACAGCGAAGGCAUAGAGAAGCCAAGCUGAGCAGUGGGACAGGCGGGAGAGCCAAGUGCCUGGAUCCAGCCAUGCCUGAAGCCAUCCCUCAAAUUCAUGACUGAUUUUUAAAAUGUAUUUUAUUUUAUUUUUUUGAGAUGGGGUCUCGCUCUGUCGCCCAGGCUACAGUGCAGUGGUAUGAUCAUAGCUCACUGCAGCCUCAGACUUGCAGGCUCAAGCCAUCUUCCUGCCUCAGCCUGCCAAG